CUGUCACCGCCGAGUCGCGCGCGUGCAACAUCUGCAACACCUGUUGGGUUUCUUUGGGGGGGGGACUAAUUGACAGCACGUGUCGUGCGCGAGCCCAGCCGCCGCUCGGGGGUCAGUGUUAAAUAACGUGGCUUGUCCGUGUCCGGUACCCUAACGACAAAAACACCCGUUUGGUCCCGGUUGGCUGAUGAACCGAGGCAGGGGAUGUGAAAGCGGACAGUGCAGAUCCCGUGAACGUGACACUCGACUCGUUUACAGUCGGUGUCACCGCGCGAAGCUUCAACGGAGAGCACGUACCUGCGGUGAGCAGCGACCGUCCGCCGCUCGUCCGUGACUCGGGCAGAUGGAUGCAGCAGGAAGCCCUCAGCGUUAACACAGCCAACCUGGUGCUGUCGAGCCCCAGCUGCUGCAGGAUCGCCCUGACCUGCAGCAGCGCCAGACGAUCGCUGUGGAGCAGGAAGGGUGGGGGUGGGUGGGAGAGGCAUGUCAGAGGUCAGCCAACAGCAGCAGAGUCACCGGAUCCCUCACAGCUGUUCCCAGAGGCCAAGGAACUUGGUCUCGAAGAUGCCCCUGGUCUUCAGCGUCUCGGAGAUCUGUCCGCGGAAGAGGAAGCCACGCUUGGUCAGAUCGAUCAAAAUCUGCCUGACGAUCUCUCCCAGGGAUGGACCUGACGAAGGUGGGCAGCAUCUUGACGGUGGAGGUGGCGUUCGUGUCCCGGCCGAGCCCGCCCUCCAUCUCCCGGCGGAACCGGUUCAUGAUGUCCUUCAGCGUCUCGUCCGAGAAACGCAUGGAGUACAGUUUUCCACCAGCACAUGAACACAACAGACAUUUUUGAAUCUUAAUGGAGCGAACUGCAGAAUAAAGGAGUCUCAAAAGUCCACUGGCACAGUGUGCGUUUGUAAAACGGUGUGGACGUGAACACAAACCCAAAGCUCAUUCCUUAAUGUGGCCCUGAGAGGACACAGGCUUGGUGAACUUUCCUUCUCUCGAGGAAUGCUGUCACCCAGUUACCACGGGCCUAAUUCACCAGAGGACACGUGGAAAAAAACGCUGCACCGUGACAUCACCCGUGACAUCAUGAAUCAUCCACCUCUGCCUCUGACUCCGCCUCCUCCUGGGAACAUCAUGCCACUCCCUCUCUCUGGACCUGAGGUCGGUUUCUCUUUGGCGUGGCCACGUUCCUCUGAGCUGCUGCUAAUGAAUUCACGUCGUCUUUCCCCGGAGGCAAUAAAAGAACAGGGGGAGCGUUCACGACUUUAUCCCCAACAGCCGCUCACAGACACCUGUCAGCUUCCGACGCCCUUGGCAACCGACGCUCCGGGAACCGCUCCGGUCCGUCUCCAGAUCGUUGCUGCCCACAGCCCAUAGUCCAGGACGCCCCACAUCCGAACCCUCCUGACCCCCUGAACAAUCUACAAUAGGAUCAGAUCUAUACGAGAGUUCGUCACGGCCUGCUCCAUCCAUCACUUCCCAAACGCUGCAUCCUCUCCUCUCCUCUCCCAGCCUGAUCCGCCCCACAGGCUCGUGUGAACACUUGACGUGCAGCAAACCGUGAACCGGCAUCCGACCGGCUGCUGCGGCCGCCGCCGCUCACACGACUCCCUUUCACUCAACCCACUCACCUUUUUGAGUUGAUCAUCCUUCAACUCGGUGAAGUAGUAGGCCAGGAGCUGAGCCGCUAUCAUCCUGCCUGCACGUCCUCCAGGAGCUGUCAGCGACUACGGGCUGGUGGGAGAGCGAGCGAGCGAGCGAGAGAGAGAGAGAGAGAGAGAGAGAGGAGGCUGCCGUUCCCCCCCCACAGUGUGAUCCCUCUUUAUCCUGGACGUGGAGCAGGAAGCAGGCCGGAGCCGAGCGCCGUGACAAGGCAAGGUUAAAGGGGGGAAAGAAGUCUGGUGAAACAGGAGUGCAGCAGCCAGUCGUGCCUGCUAGUCUGCGACAGGCACACACACAUGAACACACACGAGCACACACACACACACACACACACACACACUAGUACAUGCGAACACACACAGAGGCUGGUUUUGACCGUGUCUCCUCCCUCUGAGCUGCUAGCUCCCUGUUAGCUCUGGGGAGAUGCAGCAACUCUGCACUGGACUGGUGGUUCUAUUACACCCUGCCCCCACGAGCACUGCGAUUGGCCGGCGUGAAAGAUAGAGGGCGAAUGGGAGGGGGACAUGAGAGGAGGGGGCUUCUCCCACAGCAGAGAGGAGGGAGGGAGGGGGGAGGACUGUGAGCUGAAGGAGGAAGCUGCCUCUGCAUGAUAACCCGCCGCUCGCUCUCUCUCAGUGGCUCGGAGACUCCUCCCCCCCCCCCCCGGCCGGCACGUCUCACCACGUUGCCAUGGCACCCAGGGGUGGACGUGCAGAGGGACAGGGCGACCACGCGAUGAUGUCAUCAUCAUGCCCCUUCCUGUGCUGCCGCAUCACGCCCGGCCAUCAGCUCAGCUCCAGUCCAGACAGCAUCAGAUGCAAAGCUGCGACGCACAGAGGAGCAGGUCUCGUGACGGGACGGGCUCUUAUCUCCUGCGACAGUCCGACAGUCACGAGCCCUUCAGCAGGACCACGUACAGACCAGCACGUACAGUAAUCGCUUGAUAACUGCAAUACUUAAACACCUCGCUGUCAACGACGGAACAUGGGUUUUCGCUCCUGACCUUGAGAAGGUCUAUGAAGAUGUAUGAAGAUGUAUGAAUGCAUCUGAUCUUAUUUUCUUGUGUAGUUCCGGGUUUCAAAUCCUACACGAGCCUCCGACACGUGUCCUCAGUGGAGAGGAAACUAGGUGUAACAUACAUCUGACUUCACUCCCAAGUGGGACCUGCAGAGACUUAAAGGUACCACGACGUGGAACAUCAGAUUUCCAUGUCUAUUUUAAUAAUUUAUAAUAAAGAAAGUCCCUGUGCUGUAUAAAUACUGUGAAAGUAUCAAUCCACACGGCCCUUAUUCAGAAACUGUUUUUCAAAACGAGCCGUCAAGACUUCCUGAAUUUUGUGAUGUGACAACUGUACAAUUAUCAACACGACAACAAGAAGUCCCGUGUCGCGGAGCUCACUGCCAGAAGUCAAAAAGCGCUGCACAAUCAUUCCCAAGGACAGAAAUAUUAGAGACAAGUGGCAAAAAUUUUGAACAUUUUAGUUUGUGAAUUUGAAUUUGAACUCAUGAAGACAGUUUUUACGAGAGCUGCGAGAGAGACAAACGUAUUAAAGGAGAUUUAAAACUA